GUGCCUCUGCCGUCUGUAGUCUCGCUCCUUGAGCGGCGUGGGGCUGCCCCCCGGUGGCGGCUCAGCAGGCAGUUAACUUCAGCAGCUGAGUAGCCAGGAGGCAGAGAAGCAGGGUGACCGAGGUGCCGCCGUUCUGGCAGAGCAGCAGCUCGUCGUCACACACGUUUGCUGAAGGACAGAGGGAGUGGGGAACGAGGAAAAGCAGAUUAUGCUCGGCUGGGACUGAGUUUACUCAACGGAGAAAAUCAGGCAAGUAUACCGCUUCAUCUUCUAAACAUUCAAAAGCGGACUUCAUGAAGAGCUGGGUCUUAUGAUGCCUCAAUUUGCUCAUUUUUGAAAUGCAGUGCAUUCAUGAAAAAGUUUAUUGUGGUCAACCAAUAAAAGCCAAGCAGUGGCAUCCUAAAAUGUUUGCAAAGCUAAUCUAUGUGCAACAUGACACAUAGCCUCAAAAACAUUUUUGUUUAUAAAAACAAAUGUAUAACAUAUUUUAUUAUACGUAACACAUAAUAGCACAUCUCAGCAAAUAUUUCUAGGCCCACCUUCUAAUAAAGAAACAUAAGUCACUUGUACGGUUUCUCUCAUUGCUGACCCACUAUGUAUGCAAGAAUCUCUACUUAAGAAUCUCUAGUUGUGAAAAUUAUCACUUAAAGUCGAACAUACAUUUCUUUAGUAAGCACUCUUGUAUACCGGUUUGUCCCUAAACACCUAAGCUAGGUUAUGGUCUGCAUCACACACCAGCCUAUUGCAAAGUCACUCAUUCAUCUGUAUUACAGGAAGUCCCUGUGCGUUGAGAAAAUCAGUACAAAGAGCUUAAAAACUCUUUGUGGGGUUUAGAUGUAACACCUCAGUGAGCUGUACUGUUGGAGACAUAUCAACCUGAUUUGGUACAAAGCUAUCUUUAAACAAAUAAUGUCAUUGUUCAGCUUCAUAGUUAUUAAUCUAUAAACUGAUUAUUUUGUCAAAUUUAUUGACUGAACAAGCUCGAUACUAAUUAAUUCAUAGUUAGAACAGAAUGAAUAUAUUGCAUAUUUAUCCUGACAUUCCACAAAAAAGACUCCUAAAGAGAACUCUGAAACAGAGAAACGUGCUGUUCAUUUUAUGUCUGAAUUCAAUCAAAAGCUCGAUAAAUCCUAAGCCACUAAGAGAAGUUAUAAAACAACUAGCGUUUACAAAUCCAGCACUUUGAAGUCGAUAUUUUUAAAUUGGCUGGAAGUCGAAGCAGAGCAGCAAAAAUGGACUUGGCUGAAUUUCAGCUUGUUUGUCUUGACUUUCAGAACAAGGAAAUGAAGGAGAGACACAUUCUGAUCACAGUGCAAACGACUCCAACUAUCGUAACCAGCGGAUAGCGUGUCCCGGUUGAGAUGAACGAGGGAUAGAAAAAGCAGCAAACGACUGGAAUCUGUCCCUGUCUGAUUUCUUAGUAGCACAGACUACAUACU